rnacentral:tRNA from 1 species
GGUGGUUGUAGUUCAGUUGGUAAGAACGCCUGAUUGUUGUUCAGGAGGUCGCCGGUUCGAGUCCGGUCUUCCACCC